CUUGUCUGCUUAUUGGCUUUG
rnacentral:siRNA from 1 species